rnacentral:rRNA from 1 species
CUCCUAUUCCUUCGGGGAUAGGAGUCAAACAAACCAUGUGAACCUCCCUGUUUCGUGCCUUAGCUUUGCCAGCGGGGCAUUGGUCUUCGGACUGAUGCAUCUCGCAACCAACCUGGGCAAUGCUGCUUGGGUUGGGGCGCUAAGGCAUGCCUCACACCAUUGCCAACCAAUGUACAAACCAAAAUCUUACUUUCUGACUGCUAUUAAUUGGCGGUCUUAACCAAAGACAACUCUCAACAACGGAUAUCUUGGCUCUCGCAACGAUGAAGAACGCAGCGAAAUGCGAUACGUAGUGUGAAUUGCAGAAUUCCGUGAACCAUCGAAUCUUUGAACGCAUAUUGCGCUCGAGCCUCCGGGCAAGAGCAUGUCUGGCUCAGCGUCGGUUUAACCCCUCACUCCUCCUCCCUUGUGGUGGUUGGUUGGCUUCUCUAGCUUGCCUUUGGAGUGGAUCUGGCUUCCCCAAUUGGCUUUGGCUGAUUGGGUUGGCUGAAGUGCAGAGGCUUAAGCAAGGACCCGAUAUGGGCUUCAACUGGAUAGGUAGCACCGGUCUAGGCCGACUACACGAAGUUGUGGCUUGUGGACCUUGCUAGGGGCCAAGCAGGAAACGGGUUUGCCCGUAUCA